rnacentral:rRNA from 1 species
UACAGAGGUCUCAAGCGUUGUUCGGAUUCAUUGGGCGUAAAGGGUGCGUAGGCGGCGCGGUAAGUCGGGGUGUGAAAUCUCGGAGCUUAACUCCGAAACUGCAUUCGAUACUGCCGUGCUUGAGGACUGGAGAGGAGACUGGAAUUUACGGUGUAGCGGUGAAAUGCGUAGAUAUCGUAAGGAAGACCAGUGGCGAAGGCGGGUCUCUGGACAGUUCCUGACACUGAGACACGAAGGCCAGGGGAGCAAACGGG